GGGAGCGGGAACGGGAGCCGGACGGAGCCGCAAUCCCUCUGCCCCUCUGGCGACCGGGCGGUCUCCAAAACCGAAGGUCGCAGGUUCGAGCCCUGUCGCCCCUG
rnacentral:tRNA from 1 species